CACGUAGGGUGCGAGCGUUGUCCGGAAUUAUUGGGCGUAAAGAGCUCGUAGGCGGUCUGUCACGUCGGCUGUGAAAACCCGAGGCUCAACCUCGGGCCUGCAGUCGAUACGGGCAAACUAGAGUACUGCAGGGGAGACUGGAAUUCCUGGUGUAGCGGUGAAAUGCGCAGAUAUCAGGAGGAACACCGGUGGCGAAGGCGGGUCUCUGGGCAGUAACUGACGCUGAGGAGCGAAAGCGUGGGGAGCGAACAGG
rnacentral:rRNA from 1 species